UGGCGGACGGGUGAGUAAUGUCUGGGAAACUGCCUGAUGGAGGGGGAUAACUACUGGAAACGGUAGCUAAUACCGCAUAACGUCGCAAGACCAAAGAGGGGGACCUUCGGGCCUCUUGCCAUCGGAUGUGCCCAGAUGGGAUUAGCUAGUAGGUGGGGUAACGGCUCACCUGGCGACGAUCCCUAGCUGGUCUGAGAGGAUGACCAGCCACACUGGAACUGAGACACGGUCCAG
rnacentral:rRNA from 1 species